UACGUAGGCAGCAAGCGUUGUUCAGAGUUACUGGGCGUAAAGGGGGCGUAGGCGGCUUUUUAAGUUUGGUGUGAAAUCUCCCGGCUCAACUGGGAGGGUGCGCCGAAUACUGAGAGGCUAGAGUGCGGGAGAGGAAAGUGGAAUUCCUGGUGUAGCGGUGAAAUGCGUAGAUAUCAGGAGGAACACCGGUGGUGUAAACGGCUUUCUGGACCGUAACUGACGCUGAGGCACGAAAGCGUGGGUAGCAAACAGG
rnacentral:rRNA from 1 species